GUGGGGAAUAUUGGACAAUGGGCGAAAGCCUGAUCCAGUCAUGCCGCGUGUGUGAAGAAGGUCUUCGGAUUGUAAAGCACUUUAAGUUGGGAGGAAGGGCAGUAAGUUAAUACCUUGCUGUUUUGACGUUACCGACAGAAUAAGCACCGGCUAACUUCGUGCCAGCAGCCGCGGUAAUACGAAGGGUGCAAGCGUUAAUCGGAAUUACUGGGCGUAAAGCGCGCGUAGGUGGUUCAGUAAGUUGGAAGUGAAAUCCCCGGGCUCAACCUGGGAACUGCUUUCAAAACUGCUGAGCUAGAGUACGGUAGAGGGUGGUGGAAUUUCCUGUGUAGCGGUGAAAUGCGUAGAUAUAGGAAGGAACACCAGUGGCGAAGGCGACCACCUGGACUGAUACUGACACUGAGGUGCGAAAGCGUGGGGAGCAAACAGGAUUAGAUACCCCAGUAGUCC
rnacentral:rRNA from 1 species